rnacentral:rRNA from 1 species
GACGAACGCUGGCGGCGUGCUUAACACAUGCAAGUCGAACGGAAAGACCCUGCUUUUGUGGGGUGCUCGAGUGGCGAACGGGUGAGUAACACGUGAGUAACCUGCCCUUGACUUUGGGAUAACUUCAGGAAACUGGGGCUAAUACCGGAUAGGAGCUCCUGCUGCAUGGUGGGGGUUGGAAAGUUUCGGCGGUUGGGGAUGGACUCGCGGCUUAUCAGCUUGUUGGUGGGGUAGUGGCUUACCAAGGCUUUGACGGGUAGCCGGCCUGAGAGGGUGACCGGCCACAUUGGGACUGAGAUACGGCCCAGACUCCUACGGGAGGCAGCAGUGGGGAAUAUUGCACAAUGGGCGGAAGCCUGAUGCAGCAACGCCGCGUGCGGGAUGAUGGCCUUCGGGUUGUAAACCGCUUUCGCCUGUGACGAAGCGUGAGUGACGGUAAUGGGUAAAGAAGCACCGGCUAACUACGUG